rnacentral:lncRNA from 1 species
GCGCGGCCCCAAAUUCCGGGAGUCAGGUGACCUGGCCCCGGAGCUGCUCCCUGGACCUGCGGGAGGUGCUCUGCGACCGCCCACGCCCCGGCCCGCGGCGCGUCCCGGACGUCCACGCUUGCGUUUCUGCGGAUCGUGGGAAUCCUUCUGCGUGGGAGUUUUAGAAAUGCUAACCGAGCUCAGGUUUUGAACAUGUCUGGGACUGUGAAUUGGCUGCCAGAAUGAAGUGAGUAACUGCUAUCUAAAGACUGUUAAAAUCUGAUGGGAUAAACAGGUUACAUGGCAAAAGCAGCCAGGCUGAGAGAACCAUGGAGCUCUGAAGCCAGUCCCAAGAAGAAGCAGAAGACAUAAUACAAGCAGAAGACAGGGAGAGAAUAUUCUACGCGUAUAUACACAGGCUCAAAACAGUUUAGGCUAAUCCCUACGGGUAUGCUGCUGCCAAGUUGGUUCUUUUACUGUGCUCAUCAGAAGUGCCAGAAAAAUACCCGCACCCGCCCCCCAUUUAGCCUCUGGAAGAAGAUGUUCUAAAGGGCUCACAAACAUCCAGAUGUAGCUCUUACCAAGCUCCAGCGUCAGAAGGAGUGCCUCAGCGUCUAAGUCCGUAUAUACACACACGGCUUUUCAUGCAUCCUCUGCUGGGGAGGUCACAAUCUGAGGCACCCUUUAAAGCCACUUCUGGGAGAAAAGAAAGAGAAAAAAAAAAAUCAACCACUGAACGUCUAGUGAGCUGUUUCCUAAGGAGGCAUCAACAAACUCCUACCAGCCCCAGUCCUCAGUAACGUCAUGAGAUGGGCUGCUUGUGGUUGUCAAAACUGAUCUUCCCACUGCGGGUGAACACGUACGGCGGAUUGUUAUGGCUUAGGGCGCUUGACUGCACCGCUGUGAAAAUAUUCAGCAGAAUUCCACAAGCUCUUUGUUUGCCUUGCCUUAGUGGAAAUUCCUCCAGCUAUCCAAACACGCACCUGGGGGAGGUGUUUUUUUUUUCCCCCUCCACAUUUCAGGAAGGGGUUUCUUCUAAGUAAAAAUGUGUCCUUACCUCUCUUCUAAGUUCUCAGGCAAGACUUCUGGUUUGAGUUGAAGAUGACUAUGAAUGUGUUCUGGUUGGAAAGGGAGGUGGAGUUGGAGGAGCCGGAGAGGUCUGUAGCAAAUGUUCCUCCAACAGAGCUAAGCUGGGAAAAGGAAAGCCAAUGGAAGCCAACAAAGAAGGAAGCACGAAGCAAGGCUCCCCCAGAUUCCUAGAAGCCCAGGAACACAAAAGCCAGGAAGAUGAAUCGUCUUUUACAGUAGUAGACCUGUAUAUAGGAACGGGGAAGAUUCUAGGGUGAAAGAUCCGGGCUGCCGCUGGUCACCCAGAAGGGAGUAUGUACCUUGAGUUUCGUAACACGGAAUGGAAGUUUGGAGGCCCCUUGAAAAGAACCAAAGCACAAAGGAAGUUGGGCCUGAAGAAGGCUGGGAGACCUCUCACGCAGAGACCCAGGGCUCAGGACAGAGAAAGGAAGGUAGAACGCCAAGUGGAUCUCAUAUUUGCUCUGCGGGCUUCUGGGAAGUGUUUGAAAACAUUCUAUUUAAACUGUGCCUCUUAAGAGAGCUCUCCACUUACAUCUAACUCAGUGUGCUCAUAUUAGCAAAUAGAAAUUAUGGGAACAUUCCAAGUGCUCCCCGCCUUCCUGGUCCUCCCUCCCUGACCCCGAUAGUCUGUCCUGCCUGGAGUCUGGGCGAAUGUUUGUUUCUGAGGGAUGGAAACUGAUUAAAAACUAGAAGGCUGCUUGGGAAAAAUUUUAUAAUAGCAUGUGUGAGGUGAGUUCCACAGAAGGCUAGGGAGGGCAGGAAGGCCCCGUGCAGCCAGGGCUCCAUGCAGGCCAUCUGAAAAAAGAGGCUCCUCUUCCAACCCAGAGCUGUUGUCUUAAUUGUGGUGGAACUGCUUUUCAUAUUCCCUUAGCUUUUUAACACUAAACCAAGAUGAGAAAUUGA